UCUGACCCAGAAGAACAGGUAGUGUAGUUAGAACAAUCAGCUGUCCCAGGAACCCUGCCAAGAAGCUCCAAGUUCUUGGCAGUAGCUUCGCCAUAGCAACAGGCUUCCACGGGAGCCCUGCUAGAAAGGGUGGAGGAGGAGAGCUCCACAUUCCCGACAUCGCCACCCCUGUUGGAGGCAGCGGCCACGGAAUGUGUUGUAUCAGUCACAGAAAGAAAGCCAGAGCCUGCUAAAUCACAUCUCAAAUCACUAAACUGGAUCCUUUUAGAUUCAUACAAAUUGGGCUGCUCUCGAGCUGCAGAUCCUGAAUUGCGAAUGAGACAGGCUUCAAGGCUUCCAAACAAUUUGUCUGUAUCUCCACAGAAGCUUUCCUGAGCUCUCCCGCCUCCACCCCAUCCAUCUCUCUGGGCAGAGCCAUCCCUGCCCUGCCCAGCCCCUGGCUGUCACCUGUCACCUCUGUCCACCCUCCUGCCCGCUCCCCCACAGGCAGGGCCAAAUCCAAAGCCCCCCUCCAGCUACAACUGGAGGCUGAGGGGUUACAAGUGGUGAAAACCCUGGAAGGGGCUUGGGGGAAGAAUUAACACAAAAAGAGGUCUCCCAACUGCAAAGCAAUCUGUCCAUCUGAGCCUGAUCUGAGGGGGUAACCUCUUGGGAAGGGGAAACUUCUGGCAGGGGUGACUCCCACAGCCCCCUGGCAGGCAGAGCGGAUCCAGAGCCCCCCGUGGCAAACCCUGCCUGCAACACUUCCAAACAAGGCCCGGCCGCAGCUUGUUCGGAAGAGAAGCAGGGAACAGAAACAGCAGCCACUGUUUUGCAAAGCUUCCCCAAACUCUCAUCUCCUGGACCCAUUAGAAUCCCAGCCUCCCCAGAACAUGAUCACGGACCCCCCAGAUUCUCAGAACACAACAAAAAUUGCGAACGCUUUCCCAGGAGCCCCGGGCUGGAUGAUUUCGUGGAGGGAUGGGAGGACGCCCAGUGCAGCAUCAGUGAUGCAGGGAAUUCCAGAAGAAACAGAGGACACGACUGAAGCUGGAAGCUGAUCGGAUUCCCCCUUCCUGGGGUUCAGGGUGUUGUUCACACUGCCUGGGGAAACCCCAGACACACCAGGAGAAUGAAAGGAAUCCCGAAAAAAAAACCUGACACCCCCCCAGAGGAGGACAAAAUGCAGCACCACUCAGAAUUAAAGUUUCAGAACCAGGUGUCCUGAUUUGGUACUCAAGAAAGUCUCUGCCAUGAUCAUUCAGUUUGAAACUCUCCAUUAAAGCUCUGGAGAUAGGCAUUA